GGGUGAGUGGCGAAACUGGUAGACGCAUCACACUCAAAAUGUGACGGUAUUCCAUGAGGGUUCGAAUCCCUCCUCACCCA
rnacentral:tRNA from 1 species